rnacentral:rRNA from 1 species
UACGGGGGGAGCAAGCGUUGUUCGGAUUUACUGGGCGUAAAGGGCGCGUAGGCGGUCAGCACAAGUCAGUUGUGAAAUCUCCGGGCUUAACUCGGAAAGGUCAACUGAUACUGUGCGACUAGAGUGCAGAAGGGGCAACUGGAAUUCUCGGUGUAGCGGUGAAAUGCGUAGAUAUCGAGAGGAACACCUGCGGCGAAGGCGGGUUGCUGGGCUGACACUGACGCUGAUGACGCGAAAGCCAGGGGAGGCGAACGGG